rnacentral:rRNA from 1 species
CUACCGGGGUAUCUAAUCCUGUUUGCUCCCCACGCUUUCGUGCCUCAGCGUCAGUGUUGUCCCAGAUGGCCGCCUUCGCCACUGAUGUUCCUCCCGAUCUCUACGCAUUUCACCGCUACACCGGGAAUUCCACCAUCCUCUGACACACUCUAGCCUCUCAGUAUCCACUGCAGUUCCCAGGUUGAGCCCAGGGCUUUCACAACGGACUUAAGAAACCACCUACGCACGCUUUACGCCCAGUAAUUCCGACUAACGCUUGCACCCUUCGUAUUACCGCGGCUGCUGGCAC